rnacentral:rRNA from 1 species
CACGUAGGGCGCAAGCGUUGUCCGGAAUUAUUGGGCGUAAAGAGCUCGUAGGCGGUCUGUUGCGUCCGCUGUGAAAACUCGGGGCUUAACCCCGAGCCUGCAGUGGAUACGGGCAGACUAGAGGUAGGUAGGGGAGAAUGGAAUUCCCGGUGUAGCGGUGAAAUGCGCAGAUAUCGGGCGGAACACCAGCGGCGAAGGCGGCAUCCUGGCCCUAUCCUGACGCUGAGGCGCGAGAGCGUGGGGAGCAAACAGG